rnacentral:tRNA from 3 species
GCCUCUUUAGCUCAGUAGGUUAGAGCACAUGACUGUUAAUCAUGGUGUCCGGGGUUCAAGUCCCUGAAGAGGCGCCA